rnacentral:rRNA from 1 species
UGCCAGCCGCCGCGGUAAUACGUAGGGGGCAAGCGUUGUCCGGAAUUACUGGGCGUAAAGCGCGCGUAGGCGGCUUUGUAAGUCGGAUGUGAAAGCCCUGGGCUCAACCUGGGAAUGGCAUUCGAUACUGCAGAGCUAGAGUAUGGUAGAGGGAAGUGGAAUUUCCGGUGUAGCGGUGAAAUGCGUAGAUAUCGGAAGGAACACCGGUGGCGAAGGCGACUUCCUGGGCCAAUACUGACGCUGAUGCGCGAAAGCGUGGGUAGCAAACAGGAUUAGAUA